rnacentral:rRNA from 1 species
GACGAACGCUGGCGGCGUGCUUAACACAUGCAAGUCGAGCGAUGAAGCACCUUCGGGUGUGGAUUAGCGGCGAACGGGUGAGGAACACGUGAGGAAUCUGCCUUUCACUUCGGGAUAACUCCGGGAAACCGGGGCUAAUACCGGAUAUUUUCAACUGGCGGCAUCGCCGGUUGAAGAAAGUUUUUCGGUGAAAGAUGACCUCGCGGCCUAUCAGCUUGUUGGUGAGGUAAUGGCUCACCAAGGCGACGACGGGUAGCCGGCCUGAGAGGGCGACCGGCCACACUGGGACUGAGACACGGCCCAGACUCCUACGGGAGGCAGCAGUGGGGAAUAUUGGGCAAUGGAGGAAACUCUGACCCAGCGACGCCGCGUGAGGGAUGAAGGCCUUCGGGUUGUAAACCUCUUUCAGCAGGGAAUAAGCGAAAGUGAAGGUACCUGCAGAAGAAGCACCGGCUAACUAUGUGCCAGCCGCCGCGGUAA